rnacentral:rRNA from 1 species
UACGUAGGGUGCAAGCGUUGUCCGGAAUUAUUGGGCGUAAAGAGCUCGUAGGCGGUCUGUCACGUCGGACGUGAAAAUCCAGGGCUCAACCCUGGACCUGCGUUCGAUACGGGCAGACUAGAGUUCGGCAGGGGAGACUGGAAUUCCUGGUGUAGAGGUGAAAUUCGUAGAUAUCGGGAGGAACACCGGUGGCGAAGGCGGCGACCUGGGUCGAUACUGACGCUGAGGCGCGAAAGCCAGGGGAGCAAACGGG